UUUUCUUUUUAAACCCUACAUGCGAUGCCUUAUUUAAAAUAAUUCAGAUUGGAAGUGAAUUUCUAGAUAAUGGUGCUGUGGCUGCUAUCAAAUUUACGGAUGGUGAAUUCAGCGCUCUUGCUUUUUUACUGGCGAUGUUGCAAGUGUGAUGUGGGUGUUUUGCUUUUCUUUUUUUUUUCUUUUUUUCUUCCUGUUCAUGGUGAAAUUUUCUUAACAUCUACCACUACCAUCUGAAAAGGUCAACUCAGGAACUUGGAGAAGGUCAUGAACACCCCCCCCCCCCUUUCGAAGGGAGAGGCUAAUUAGCAUUUCUCAGACCACAGGGCCUGAACCGACCUGCAGGUGGGGACACAUUACACAGGACAGACCUUGCUCACUUUCAGACAAGGGAAGUCCUUGUCACCUCAUCCCUAAAGACCAAUCAGUUUAAAGGGUGCACCGUUCCGCCAAUCGUAUUGUGCCUAGUUGCUGAUGCUCUGUUCUUCCCCUGGAAACCAUAUAAAAACUCGCCGACCAGUACUAGUGGCCACCGCUUCUCCUUUGGGUCUGGGAUGACCCCAGUGCACUGGAACAAUAAAUUCCUCUUGCUUUUUGCAUCGAUUCUGGCUCCACGUGGUUCACUCAGGGGGUCCCUGGUAAGCUAAGGCUCCCCGGAGUCUUGCCUUUGGUGCAUUGGCCGGGAAGUGACUCCUUGUGGGAACACAAUGGAGUGGUGAAUCGGAGGUCUCGAGCUUUUACUGUGGUUCCUGUUUGUCUUUCUGUUCGUUAAAAUCUGAGUCUGUUAAGUAUGUUUGAACUUUCGCUUGCAAGCGCCCGGAUGCUUGGAGAGCCUACAGUGUCUGUGCAGUCAACUGCAACGGGGCAUGCCUUACGUGAUCGUGGGACGUGAAGCUGAAGGACGCUUCAGUUCUCCUUGGAGGGAGCCAGGAAGGCUCUGCUCCUUCUGGAACCGGCAAGACAAUAUCGGCAGGAGCCGAGUCUUGCUAUAACCUGGUUUAUCUGGCUCCUGUCGUAUGGGCCGGAGCACCUGGUGUCUGUAACUGGGCCCAUGAAAGGGGUAAACUGUGUGUUGAUUGUCUUUCUCUGUGUUCUUGGACCUGGAUGCCUGCCUGUGUCAGGGUCGAGCUAUCUGUGUGGUUGAUUGUUUUUCUCUGUGUUUGUUGGUAUCUAUUCUAUGUUCUUGGACUUAACUGACGGACAUUUUUUGGACAUUGGACAGACUAAAAAACAAGUUAGUUACCCUCUGCUCCUCCGAAUGGCCCACUUUUUGAAGUAGGGUAGCCACCUGUAGGGAUCUUCGAAUUACAGGUGAUGGAAGCAGGAGAGGAGAGAGUCUUUAGGCAAAGAUCCCUGGGGCGCCCAGACCAAUUGCCCUAUAUAGUUACCUGGAAAAUUCUAAUGGAGGACACCCCCUCAUGGAUAAAAGCCUUUCUUUCCCAAGACCCACCUCACAGGUUCUGGCUGUCAGGAAGAAGGGAGCACGGGAGGAGAGAUCCGGACAUGAGAAGAAGUCAAUCCUCCAAGACCCUUCACCAGCAGACCUGUUGCUCCAAAACCCUCCUCCAUAUCUCCCUACCCUUGCUUUCAUGGCCCCCGCCAGCGCCAGUACUGGUUCCGGGACCCUCAGCUCAUAGGAGACCAGGGCUAUUGCACCGCCUUUUACAGGAGGGAGAAGCUGGAGGAGACUCCCAACUUCCCGGCCCUAGAUGGGGACACAAAGUCUGAGAACCACCUCCCCUGAUAUCACGGUGGCUCUCCCAUUAAGGGCCGGUUAAUCUCUUUGAGACUGUUUUAUUUGUAAUGCAGGGAGCCAGAAGCCAGAAAGAAUACCCACUUGGACAAGGUGGUGGUGGUGGGGGGCACCAUCCAUUGACCAUGCUAUCGCGGACAGUGGGGGUUUCCCUGACUAGACCUGACUGGGACUUUAAUAUGAUAAAAGGUACGGGGCACCUAAAGGUCCCCCACCAGACUCCACUGGCAGGUCUCGAGGGCUGCAUGACCACCCACAAAUUUGACCAAGCUACGUGAGGUUAAGCAGAGACCAGAUGAGUUGCCCGCAGCCGUUUUAGAGUGCCAAUAAACACCCUAUGACCCUACCAGCAAAGAGCAUAAAACUACUGUGACCAUGGCUUUUAUAGACCAGGCCUGCAAGAAACACCCAUUGGGAAAUGGGACUGGACUAAGAGAUGGCUUCAUUUAAAAUAUAUUGAAGAAGAAAGGACUCAGAUUGCUAGCUACCCUACCAACGAUUACCCAGAGAAGGUAGGACCAUAGCGCACACAAGAAGGGAGAACUAUAUUUCCCAGAAAGCAAGCAAAAGAUUUAUUAGGCCAAAUGCACCAAUGGACUCAUUUAGGGGAUAAAAAGCUUGUCCAAGAUUGUCUAAGCAGUUAAGAGACCUAAAGUAUAUAUAAUGGACCUCAGGUUCUGGGCCAAGAGAUAGAACAGUGUAAGGUACACCAGCAAGUAAAUGCUUAUGCAGCCAAGAGUAAACAGGGCAAAAGGCCUAGGGGAGAGCAGCCUGGGGUUUACUGGGAGGUCGGUUUUACAGAAGUUAAGCCAGGAAAAUAUGGUUACAAAUACCUUCUAGUGUUUGUAGUUUUCCCUGGAUGGGUUGAGACAUUCCCCACCAAGCAGGAAACAGCUACCAUGGUAGCUAAGAAGAUUUUAGAAGAAAAAUGUCCAGAGGUUCGGAGUGCCCAAGGUAAUUGGAUUGGACAAUGGUCCUGCUUUCGUCUCUUAAGGUAAGUCAGGGAUUGGCAGAGAUAUUGGGGACUAAUUGGAAGCCCCAUUGUGUGUAUUGUCCCCAGAGUUCAGGGCAGGUAGUGAGAAUGAACAGAACCCCUACAAGACACCUUGACUAAGUUGACCUUGGAGACUGGCUCGGACUGGUUGGUGCCCCUCCCCUUGUCCCUGAACACCCCCUACCAUUUUAACCUGACCCCUUUUGAGAUCCUGCAUGGGACACCCACUCCCUUGGCUCUUGAUCCCCCCCAGAGUGACUUUUCAGGCUGACAAGGAUCUUAUGGCUUGAUUGCAAGCUUCCCAGAUCAGCCACCUGGAAUUGUGGCCUAAACUUAGUUCCCUGUAUGAUGCAGGUACCCCAGAGUUUCCACACAAGUUCCAAGUUGGAGAUUGGAUAUAUGUUAGGAGACAUUGUGCUGAACACUCAGAAACAAAGAACCAUUCCUGUGUUGCUGACCACCCUGACCUCCGUUAAACUGGAUAGAGUAACUGCCUGGGUUCACAUCAGAUCAGCCAUCUAGAUGGCAGCCAGACACCCAAGCUAUGCCCUUCUGCAAGGCCAGAGAAACUACAAGACUAUGGUGUAUCUUUCAGUGUUGAGCCUCAGCAGCCCUCACAACCCUGCCAGGGUAGCUUGGCAGGUGCUCUCAGCCACUGGUGAUGUGGCUUGGUCCACUACCUGCAUUGUAUCUGGUGGCUGGAGCCUGUCUUUUAUUUCUAUGAUUUAGCAGUGGGCCUUGACUUCUGGGGUGUCGCUGCCCUGGAGACACAGGGGGAGGGAUUGCCUGAAUGUGGGGGACGAGGGACUUGUAAAUCUAAACUGUGUUCCAGAAGUGGGCUUAGAGGGUGGGGCUUAGGGUGCAGACACACAAAAUUGAAGUGUCCCAUGAGAAACCCCCAUAUAUGUGUAUCCCUGAGAUGGGAGAAGUCAGUGGCAGUCUCAUCAGUGUUAGGGGGCCAACCAUUUCUUCUAUGCUACCUGGGGGUGUGAAGCAUCGUGAAGCACAUACUGGAGACCAUUCUGGGGGAUAGUUAAAGAUUCAAUGGCCAAGGUGAGAGAAGGGGUAGCUAGGCAGAAGAGAGGACAGAGACAGGGCUGGUUAGCCAGGCAGAAGAGAGAACAGAGAUAGAGUCUUGGUUUAACAGCUCCCCCUGGGUUACUACCUUGAUUUCUGCAUUGUUAGGACCCCUGAUCAUUUUGUUCCUGCUUCUGACCUUCGGCCCUUACACUGUAAACCGCUUAGCUGCUUUUAGUAAAGUUCGCAUAGGUGAUGAUACAGUUGAUGGUCCUGAGACAAAGGUAUCAAGAGCUAAGUGCAGAGGACCAGGGAUAUGAGCUGCAUAACUAUCCACAAGAGCUUCAAGGAUGAAGCAUGCACAAAGAAAAGGGGGGGGGGUGAUGAAAAGGUCAGCUCAGGAACUUUGGGACAGUCAUGAAACACUCUUCCCCGACCCCCAGAAGGGAGAUGCUAAUUAGCAUUUCUGACCUGUGGUAACUGACCUGCUCACCUUCAGACAAGGGAAGUCCUUCUCACCUCAUUCCCUAAAGAGCAAUCAGUUUAAAGGGUGCACUGUUCAGCCAAUCAUAUUGUGCUGAAUGGGUGCUGGGGGGGGGGGUGUUGCUGCCUCUCCUUCGUGUCUGGAACGACCCCAGUGCACUGGAACAAUAAAUUCCUCUUGCUUUUUGCAUCGAUUCCAGCUCUGCCUGGUUCACUCAGGGGGUAAGCUAAGACUCCCUAGUGUCUUACACAUCCACCCCCUAGCCCUCUAAAUGAGUCCAGGUAAAGAUGUUAUUUAGCAAAUUAAUUUACCAUCUUAGUAUUUUAUGAUAAAGGUUUGAUAAAAUAUUAGAUAAAACAUACACACAAACACAUAUACAUUUACACACAUACGUAUACACAUAUAUUUGUGAUGCUUGUGAUGUGCCAUGCUUUUAUAUAAAUUUGUUAUCUUGAUAAAGCCAGAUAAAUAAAUGCUCAUAUUUGUGCCUAAUAAUUCAACUCUUUGCUUUUUACAAGGCCAGAGCAAGGCUGAAAGGAAAUUCAUCUCAAAGCUAUUAAGAAAAGCCAGAUAGAAAGGGAACAUAAAAAGAAAUGAGCUACGGCCAAAGGACCAGACCCUCCCUCAGCCAGCCUUCCAUCAUCCCAGCUCCCCAGAUGGAACAAAGAUUUAGAGUUUCAGACAGAACCCAGAACAGAAAGGAGGGAAGUGGGGCUGCCAGUGUGAGAACCAGGUCUGCUAAUUUAUUCUAUGUUCUUAGACACAGGAAGACAAAGAAACCACCUGGCCAUGACCUAGCUGAAUCAGAAUAACUCCCAGACUGUCCCUGUGGCCUCCACCGGAUGCACCUGAAAAUCAGUUUUUGUGUCCUCGAGUCUGUCUCCCGUGUAAGAGACAAAGCAGAGUAAUGAAACCACUGUGUAACUCCUCAGUGUCGGCAGGGCAGGCUGGACCUUUGCUCUACCCAGACAGAAAUUACUAGUAGGGGCAUUCUGGGAUCUGACUGGACGAAGCCUUGCGUAUACCACAGGCUGAAGGAGGAGGAGGAGGAAGGCCAGGAAUGCUGGUGUGAAUCUUCAAGGGCCGGCAAACUGAAAUCAUGGGAGAAAUGCCAGCUACCACUAAUAUCCAGGACCCGGAGCCAUGGGCUGAAAGGGUGGGUUCAGGACCUUUUGGAAAAUGUCACCAGACCCCUCCCCUCCAGAAGGGGAAGGCUAAUUAACAUUCCACAGGACAGACUGACCAUCAGCCACCUGCCAGUGGGAGAGGCCUAGAGCAGGUAAACACAUUCCACAGGACAGACCGACUAACGGACCAUCUACAUCCACAGACAAGGGAAGUCCCUGCCACCUCAUUCUCUAAAG